rnacentral:rRNA from 1 species
GGCAGAUUAGUUAGUUGGCGGGGUAAUGGCCCACCAAGACGAUGAUCUGUAUCCGGCCUGAGAGGGCGCACGGACACACAGGAACUGAAACACGGCCCAGACUCCUACGGGAGGCAGCAGUGGGGAAUUUUGCGCAAUGGGGGAAACCCUGAUGCAGCAACGCCGCGUGGAGAAUGAAAUCCCUUGGGAUGUAAACUCCUUUCGAUCGGGACGAUUAUGACGGUACCGGAAGAAGAAGCCCCGGCUAACUUCGUGCCAGCAGCCGCGGUAAUACGAGGGGGGCGAGCGUUGUUCGGAAUUAUUGGGCGUAAAGGGUGCGUAGGCGGUUUGAUAAGUCUGAUGUGAAAUCUAUGGGCUCAACCCAUAGCCUGCAUUAGAAACUGUCGGGCUUGAGUAUGGGAGAGGUGAGUGGAAUUUCCGGUGUAGCGGUGAAAUGCGUAGAUAUCGGAAGGAACACCUGUGGCGAAAGCGGCUCACUGGACCAUUACUGACGCUGAUGCACGAAAGCUAGGGGAGCA